rnacentral:misc_RNA from 1 species
CUGCGCAGCAGCAGAGAGGAGGCAUCGGCAGAGGGCUCGCGGCCGGGAGAGGAGCACAGGGGCGCCCUGCGCUGCGGAGAUGAAGGGCGCAGCUUCCGGCAACCCAACGACAUGGAGAACAAGGAGGGCGUGGCUGGAGGAAAGGGGCGAGCUGCUUGUGGCCAUGGGGGGAGAAGAAAGGGCGCCGUCGAGGGAGCUUCAACAGUGGAGCGCUCGGCUGCUGGGCUGCUCACCGUGGACAGGAGAGGAAGGCAGAUGCAGUGGAGAAAGGGCGCUCAAAACUGCUGGCCGGAGCUAGGGCUCGGCCAUGGGAAAGAAGGGGGAAGGAGGAAGGGGAGCCGGCUGGUGGAGAUGUGGAGCUCGCCAUUUGGAGUAGUGGCAGGGGGCGUCCAUGGCUGCUGGCCAAGCAGAGGCGUCGGCGUGCUCCCAAGGAGCUUCUGCUCCUGCACGCACGAAGCAGAGAAGGAGGAAGAUGGGGCGCUGGUGGUCUGA